rnacentral:rRNA from 1 species
UACGUAGGGGGCAAGCGUUAUCCGGAUUUACUGGGUGUAGAGGGAGCGUAGACGGCUUUGCAAGCCAGAUGUGAAAGCCCGGGGCUCAACCCCGGGACUGCAUUUGGAACUGUAUGGCUGGAGUGUCGGAGAGGCAGGCGGAAUUCCUAGUGUAGCGGUGAAAUGCGUAGAUAUUAGGAGGAACACCAGUGGCGAAGGCGGCCUGCUGGACGAUGACUGACGUUGAGGCUCGAAAGCGUGGGGAGCAAACAGG